UGGUGGUUCAGUGGUAGAAUUCUCGCC
rnacentral:piRNA from 8 species